GCUUACGGCCACCACCCUGAACACGCCCGAUCUCGUCAUGAUCUCGGAAGCUAAGCAGGUCGGGCCUGGUUAGUACUUGGAUGGGAGACGCCUGGGAAUAACCAGUGCUGUAAGCU
rnacentral:rRNA from 1 species